rnacentral:lncRNA from 1 species
UUUUUCGGCCCAGUAGUUUCGGACGUCAGUAUUUUCAAGUAAAUGUGGAAUUUGGUGCGAUCAAUUAUUUUGUUGGUGUUGUGCGCGGCCGCUGUGCAGUGCUAUCGGUGCGGAGGGUGAAAUUGAAAGUUGAUGGAGAUGGAAAAAUCGGAUACUGAAUGCUGCAUGACAGGUUCCGAUGGAACGACCGAAAAUUUUAUAAAAUUUGGCCGACUUCUUAUUUUUGGUUGAUUUCACUGUUCAUCUCGAGGAAAUUUCAACGAUAUUGGCUGAAAGCCGUUUGUCGGGGUUGACGGAGAUUACAGUCCAAUUUUGACCGUUGAACUUGUCUAGUUGCAUUGAAUUCACAAAAACAGCUCAAAAAACGGUAUUUAAGUAAGUGCGAUUUCUAUAAAUUUUAUGUUGAAAACAUAAGAAAAUCGGAGAACCCCCGAACUAACAGAAAGCUUCAGUUAAAACUUGCUGCUAUUUCCAUGUUAACCUCUGGCAUGAAUUAAUUUUGGAUCUCAGAUUCUGGGGGACACGAAUCUACAAAAAAUAUAGAGUAUAAAUGUUUUUUUAAAAUUUUAAAUUUUUCGGAAUCAGUUAUUCAAAAAAAGAAAAAACUAAUG